rnacentral:misc_RNA from 1 species
GAUGAAGAACGCAGCGAAAUGCGAUAAGUAAUGUGAAUUGCAGAAUUCAGUGAAUCAUCGAAUCUUUGAACGCACAUUUCGCCCGCCAGUAUUCUGGCGGGCAUGCCUGUUCGAGCGUCAUUUCAACCAUCAAGCCCCCGGGCUUGUGUUGGGGACCUGCGGCUGCCCGCAGGCCCUGAAAACCAGUGGCGGGCUCGCUGUCACACCGAGCGUAGUAGCAUCAUCUCGCUCAGGGCGUGCUGCGGGUUCCGGACGUUAAAAAGCCUCUAAUACCCAAGGUUGACCUCGGAUCAGGUAGGAAGACCCGCUGAACUUAAGCAUAUCAAUAAGCGGAGGA